UGGGGAAUAUUGGACAAUGGGCGAAAGCCUGAUCCAGCCAUGCCGCGUGUGUGAAGAAGGUCUUCGGAUUGUAAAGCACUUUAAGUUGGGAGGAAGGGCAGUAAGCGAAUACCUUGCUGUUUUGACGUUACCGACAGAAUAAGCACCGGCUAACUCUGUGCCAGCAGCCGCGGUAAUACAGAGGGUGCAAGCGUUAAUCGGAAUUACUGGGCGUAAAGCGCGCGUAGGUGGUUCGUUAAGUUGAAUGUGAAAGCCCCGGGCUCAACCUGGGAAGUGCAUCCAAAACUGGCGAGCUAGAGUAGGGCAGAGGGUGGUGGAAUUGCCUGUGUAGCGGUGAAAUGCGUAGAGAUAGGAAGGAACACCAGUGGCGAAGGCGACCACCUGAGCUCAUACUGACACUGAGGUGCGAAAGCGUGGGGAGCAAACAGG
rnacentral:rRNA from 1 species